rnacentral:rRNA from 1 species
GUAUCAUGGCUCAGGAUGAACGCUAGCUACAGGCUUAACACAUGCAAGUCGAGGGGAAACGACAUUGAAAGCUUGCUUUUAAUGGGCGUCGACCGGCGCACGGGUGCGUAACGCGUAUCGAACCUGCCCUUUACUCAGGGAGUAGCCUUGCGAAAGUAAGAUUAAUACCUGAUAGUGUUGCGAUGAGGCAUCUUGUUGCAACUAAGAUUUAUUGGUAAAGGAUGGCGAUGCGU